rnacentral:rRNA from 1 species
AUUGAACGCUGGCGGCAUGCCUUACACAUGCAAGUCGAACGGUAACAGGUCAAGCUGACGAGUGGCGAACGGGUGAGUAAUAUAUCGGAACGUGCCCAGUCGUGGGGGAUAACGUAGCGAAAGCUGCGCUAAUACCGCAUACGAUCUCUGGAUGAAAGCGGGGGACUCGCAAGAGCCUCGCGCGAUUGGAGCGGCCGAUAUCAGAUUAGGUAGUUUGUGGGGUAAAAGCCCACCAAGCCGACGAUCUGUAGCUGGUCUGAGAGGACGACCAGCCACACUGGGACUGCGAAACGGCCCAGACUCCUGCGGGAGGCAGCAGUGGGGAAUUUUGGACAAGGGGCGAAAGCCUGAUCCAGCCAUGCCGCGUGCAGGACGAAGGCCUUCGGGUUGUAAACUGCUUUUGUACGGAACGAAACGGCUCUCUCUAAUACGGGGGGCUAAUGACGGUACCGUAAGAAUAAGCACCGGCUAACUACGUGCCAGCCGCCGCAGUAA